rnacentral:lncRNA from 1 species
GUACAUUUUUAUAUUCAAGACAAGUAUGAAUUAGGUUUAAGUCACUUAUAUGAGCAGAAUUUAAAGAUUGGACCGUUAUUCAACAAUAUGCAAACAAAUGUACAAAUUAUUUUAAUUUGUACAUUUGUUCAGGGUAAAUAAUUGUUCUUUGUGGCAAAUAAUUUAUUUGACCUGAUAGUAGCAUCAUUUAAUUGAGUAUAGCAUGUAUGCCAUCCACCUGGUAAUGUGAAAGUAUUCUUGUUUUUUUUUUUUUUUUUUUUCAGAGGUACUUUACCAAGUUACACAAGUUUUCUCAGAAUUAAUUCUUCAUAUUUCCCUCUUGAAUAGUGAAACUCCUAUGUUGCUUACAGGGCGAAUCUAUCAUAUUUUUUUGCAUUUCUUGUUAUUCUAGGUUUUGAAAGACAAUCCGUUUUUCUUGGUUGAAUAUUUAAAACUUUUUUUACUCUUCCAAAUAAAGAAACUUCAGAACCUUUUUGAAACAUUGAUUAUUUAAAGAUCCAAAGAAUUUUUAAGCAAUCUUUCUCCAAUAUGGUGGCUACAGGGAAGCCACAAUAACUCUCUCUUUAACAAUUGUUGAAUAGAUGUGCAAGGCAUGGAGUGUUUUCCCUAACAUUUGUGAAUAUUUCCAAUUUAAAAAUUGUCUUUGCAAUUCUCUGUUCGAGUAAAAUGAUUGUUUUGUGUUGUAGAAAAGGAACACCAAGUAAUUUUAAUGUUCUGAUUCCCGAAACAACUAUGGGUAAUCUUUCUUCCAAGAAUUUAGGAUUGUCAAGAUUUUCUAUUAGUUUUUCGUCCCAGUGCACUGCCAUAAUGGAUGGGAGUUUCCAGGAACUUCUAAUUUGUUUUACGAUACUAGUAAAUGUUUCAAAACGAUAUUUCUAGGUUUGAACAUAACUUAAAUUUAUUAUCUAAUUUCUAUCAAGACUGUGACAGAAACAUUUUCUUGACGGCAGACUCAACAACGUUGAAAUUUUUACAAUUAUCAUGUGGCUAGAAACCUAUUGCUCCAAGUUUUGGCGUUCCAACACUUUUCUAAUAUUUUGUUAAAAUGCAAUAGCUUCACAAAUUUGUUCUUUUGGUACAAAGUUAAUGUUAUUUUUUGUUAUCAUAUAUUUUGAAAACAAUAAACCCUCUAAUACAAUAUUCUUUUCUUCUUCAGAAAUUGCCUUCAGACUAUUCAAAAAAAAAUUCUUGACAUUGCUGGAGAACAAUGACAUAAUUUAUUAUUGUUUUUCAUUUAAACAAAAACCUUUCUGUCAGUUGAUCUACUAUCAUUAGGAUGUUCAAGGCAAUUUUUUGUAGUCAUUGAUAUGGAAAGAUAUAACUUUUCUUGUAAUGUUUUUUUUAGUUGUCAUCGGUAUUCUUGCUUUAUGAGAGAUUCGUUGAACCUCAUUCACUAACACAGAAGCUGCUUCAAAUUUCACUUUUCUGUUCACUGAAGGGAAAUUAUCAAGUUGAAGGUGUUUACGUUCGCAAAAUAGAAUAAAAAAAACUUUUUAUAGUUUUGUAAUUUUGAUCCCUUAAGAUAUCACAAGGACAUAUUAGUAAAAUUUCUUGUGCCAUAGCACUUUACUUUGCCAUUUUUUAAGAACUAAAUAUUAGGUUAUUGAUUCUAGGAAUGCUUUUUUAUUGAAAAAAGUAUGACAACGAGAAAACAAAGAACAAAGGAUUUUGUUGCGUAAUAAGCCUUAUAAAAAACCAGAAUGUGCCAACAAAAGAUAUUUGGCAAUUUUUAUAAAAAUCCGAAUUUAGCUUCAGUGUAUUAAACAUUAGGAGUAUGAAAAUGGCAAAAAAACGCAUAAGUUUGGAACGGAGUGAUCACCCUAUAGAUGCAAUAUAAACACUCUCAAAAAGUAAAUCAAUGGAUUAUUUGUUACUAAUUUUCUUCUCUUCCUUAAUUUUAUUCGAAAUUUUUCCAUAAACUGUGUUGAGGACUAAUCAAGAGUAUUGUUUCGAUUGAAAUAAAAAGAUAUAUUUACUAUAUUUGAGAACAACAAUGAAUUUUGAACGCAUUAGGAGGUUUGCAGCUGAUCAAUAGGAUUGAAAAUUAUCAUCAGGAUAAGUGAAUGCAUUUAUUUAAGAUAUUUUAAUGUUUCCAUAUUUUUCUAAAAGAAAAUCCUUAUUAAGCUUCAAUAUGCUUCAGUGAGUAAAACAGGACAUUAAGUUCAGCUUACAAUUCGAAAUACAAAAUAUAAUUAAUUUUUUCAAAAUAUAUCAACGUCACUAGCGUGAAAUGAGUAAAGAGACAACAUCACGAGCUAUUAAUGGAUGAAUAAAAAAAACUAUAUGCUGUAUCUAUGUACGUAGGCACAUAGUGAAAACACUUGUGAGAGAGUAAAACUACCUUACUAAUAAUAUUGACAUUUGAUUAACAGAUUAAAAUCACUUAGAAAUAUAAUGAAAUGAAGACAUUUCAUUUUCAAAUCCUCCCUUGGUCUGUAUUCCCUUAAAUCAGAUUUUAAAUCAACUAUGUAAAGCGUUCCAUAAAAAAAAAUUUACCCCAAAAAUAUAACAAACUAAAUUAUAUAAUACAUAUACUUACUGUGUCAAAUCAAAUUUAUCCCUUCAUUAAUACUAUAAGUACAUCUUUAGGGUCAUUUUACUCUAAUCGGCAUGAUUUCAAACAAUUUUUUGGAUUGAAACAACUGGUCAAUUUAUUUCAUGUUUUUACUGUAUGCCAGAAUAUGAAGUAUAUAUAUAUUUAAUUUGGAGUUAUCAGGAUUUCAAUUUAAGUAUGUAAAUGAAAUAGUUAUUAAAACGAGUGUCUUAAAUCGUUAUCUUGUUAAAAGGAAUUUGUUAGAGAUCAUGAUUCUUCUAAGAAACAUGCGUUCAAUUAAUUUUUGAAUCUAUAAUUUAAUUUUCUUUUUUCAUCGUAGUACACAUAGUAGUCCAAGGGGUACAGAUACCUUGAGCUAGGAGGCUACAAUUACUAUGCAGAAAAUGCAAGAUAAAUUAAUAAAAUAUCUAACAGGCUUAAAACUAUAGCCUAGUCUUGAGUAUAUUUUCAGCCUUCUUUUAUAGAAUAUCAUUAUCCUUUUUACAAGCUAAAAUAGAUUAACUAUUUCAUCUAUUGAACUAAUUGCAUGAGUAAAUGAUCCAGUCGUAAAAAUGCUCUUAGAAGCUAUAUUAAGAAUUAUUUGUUAGCAUUUGAGGAGCUAAAUAAUAAAAAAAACACACAGAUGAAAACGGUAAGUUUAUGCACUAUAUAAAGAUCUAUUAGUUCCACAAUUUGACAUUACUUACGAGUUAUCAGUUCUGGAAGCAUGAUAACCAUGAAAGCUAUCUUCGUGAUUGUGGCUCUCUCAGCUUUGUUCCUUGAGAGCAAUGGACAAAUCAAAACAACACCAGCACAGGGCGUGAAAACAACUGUGGUUC